GAGGAAUACCAAUGGGAAGCAGCCCCCUGGACUAUACUGAGGUCAUGCACGAAAGCGUGGGGAGCAACAGAUUAGAUACCCUGGUAGUNCACGCCCUAAACAAGUAUANUAGUUGUUGGGAGAGUAAAAUCUCUUAGUAACGCAGCUAACGCGUGAAGUAGACCGCCUGGGGAGUACGGUCGCAAGAUUAAAACUCAAAGGAAUUGACGGGGGCCCGCACAAGCGGUGGAUUAUGUGGAUUAAUUCGAUGCAACGCGAAAAACCUUACCUGGCCUUGACAUGUACCGAAUUUAGCAGAGAUGCUUUAGUGCUCGAAAGAGAACGGUAACACAGGUGCUGCAUGGCUGUAGUCAGCUCGUGUCGUGAGAUGUUGGGUUAAGUCCCGCAACGAGCGCAACCCUUGCCAUUAAUUGCCAUCAUUUAGUUGGGCACUUUAAUGGGACUGCCGGUGACAAACCGGAGGAAGGUGGGGAUGACGUCAAGUCCUCAUGGCCCUUAUGGCCAGGGCUUCACACGUAAUACAAUGGUCGGUACAGAGGGUUGCCAACCCGCGAGGGGGAGCCAAUCCCAGAAAGCCGAUCGUAGUCCGGAUUGUAGUCUGCAACUCGACUGCAUGAAGUCGGAAUCGCUAGUAAUCGCGGAUCAGCAUGUCGCGGUGAAUACGUUCCCGGGCCUUGUACACACCGCCCGUCACACCAUGGGAGUGGGUUUCACCAGAAGUAGUUAGUCUAACCGCAAGGGGGACGAUUACCACGGUGGGAUUCAUGACUGGGGUGAAGUCGUAACAAGGUAACC
rnacentral:rRNA from 1 species